GACGAACGUUGGCGGCGCGCCUAAUGCAUGCAAGUCGAGGGAGAACCGCUCGAUCCGUAAGGAUCGGACGGGGAAACCGGCGAACGGGUGCGUAACACGUGAGGAACCUGCCCCGAAGACCGGGAUAGCCCGGGAAACCCGGAUUAAUACCGGAUGUCCUCGAGGGACCGCAUGGUCCGUCGAGGAAAUGGUCCGCCGCUUUGGGAUGGCCUCGCGGCCUAUCAGCUUGUUGGUGAGGUAACGGCUCACCAAGGCCGAGACGGGUAGCUGGUCUGAGAGGACGAUCAGCCACACUGGGACUGAGACACGGCCCAGACUCCUACGGGAGGCAGCAGCAGGGAAUAUUGCACAAUGGGCGAAAGCCUGAUGCAGCGACGCCGCGUGCGGGAUGAAGGCCUUCGGGUUGUAAACCGCUUUCAGGAGGGACGAAAAUGACGGUACCUCCAGAAGAAGCCCCGGCCAACUACGUG
rnacentral:rRNA from 1 species